GUGGGGAAUAUUGGACAAUGGGCGAAAGCCUGAUCCAGCCAUGCCGCGUGUGUGAAGAAGGUCUUCGGAUUGUAAAGCACUUUAAGUUGGGAGGAAGGGCAGUAAGUUAAUACCUUGCUGUUUUGACGUUACCGACAGAAUAAGCACCGGCUAACUUCGUGCCAGCAGCCGCGGUAAUACGAAGGGUGCAAGCGUUAAUCGGAAUUACUGGGCGUAAAGCGCGCGUAGGUGGUUUUGUAAGUUGGAGGUGAAAUCCCCGGGCUCAACCUGGGAACUGCCACCAAAACUGCAUGACUAGAGUACGGUAGAGGGUAGUGGAAUUUCCUGUGUAGCGGUGAAAUGCGUAGAUAUAGGAAGGAACACCAGUGGCGAAGGCGACUACCUGGACUGAUACUGACACUGAGGUGCGAAAGCGUGGGGAGCAAACAGGAUUAGAAACCCGUGUAGUCC
rnacentral:rRNA from 1 species